UGUUGGACACAUUCAUCGCCUCAUCGAU
rnacentral:piRNA from 1 species